ACCCGCGUGGAGCAAGCUACUCGCAGACCGAUUAGCUACUAGAGCAGUAGCGAGCGAGCGUCAACCAGCUAUGAUUUCACCAAUACUGAGCCCAUACAAAGAAAUAACUCUGCAAAAAGCAGAUCAGCAUAUUCUCUGCAACAUACAGAUGUAGAGAUGUUCAUGGUAAACACAUCGAUGGGAAUUCAUGGUUUUGGAGAGGAUGUGGACCUACAAAGAACCUUGAACAUGGGACAGCUCCAGCUGAUGAACCCACUCUGAGAAUGGCUGUGGGGACAUCAGGCAACCUUACAAUUUGUCUAAUUAGCAGAAUCCAUUGCUACUUCCUAGGAAGGCGGAUCAUCAAUCAAGAGGAAUUUCAGGUGAAGAAGAUUAAUUUGGAGGUCAUCAAGAGAGUAACCAAGCAUCAUCCUCAAAGUGGACAAAUCCUCGAUUGAAGGCAACCUUGUGAAUUCAGGAGAUCUUGGAGACCCUGUGUGUGAAGCUGACUGGUGAAUUUCCUCAUUGGUAAAGAUGUCCAGCAACAAGAGGAAAAGACCAAGAAAACAUGACCUUUGAAGGAGGUGGUGCAAAGCUGAGAUGAGGAAACUGAACUCAAGAGAGGAACCUAUUCAUUGUUCAAAGUCUGGAUCAACUGUUACCCCUCCAUGGCAUUUUCCCUGAUCCCUCCCUCUUCUGUGUACAUAUUUUAUUAUUUCUUGUGGACAAGAACUAGGUCUUCUUUAUUGCAUAUCUCUUGUAGCAUGCGUGGCACAGAGCAACUAAACAUAAUAAUAUGAUGAUAGCCCACAUUUCUACAGCCAUUUGCAAUUUUCAAAGCUCUUACUAAAUGCU